rnacentral:rRNA from 1 species
UACGAAGGGGGCUAGCGUUGUUCGGAAUCACUGGGCGUAAAGCGCACGUAGGCGGAUGUGCCAGUCAGGGGUGAAAUCCCGGAGCUCAACUCCGGAACUGCCUCUGAUACAGCACGUCUUGAGUUCGAGAGAGGUGGGUGGAAUUCCUAGUGUAGAGCUGAAAUUCGUAGAUAUUAGGAAGAACACCGGUGGCGAAGGCGGCCCACUGGCUCGAUACUGACGCUGAGGUGCGAAAGCGUGGGGAGCAAACAGG